rnacentral:lncRNA from 1 species
GUCCUUUUUUUGUAUGCAUCAUUGGUUUGCUGUCAUUGUUUUGCAUGUGUCAUUAGGUUGCUGUCUUUGUUUUAUAUUUGUUAUCAGGUUACUGUCUUUGUUUUGUUUGUGUCACUGGGUUGCUGCCAGGUUUUUUGUUUGUCAUUCGGUUGACGUCUUUAUUUUGUAUGUGUCAUUUGGGUAGUCAUUUGAUUAGUAUAGGUCAUUGGGUUGCUGUCUUUAUUUUGUACUAAUUUCGAAACUAAUUUCAUUAUUAAAAUUCUUAACAUAAUUGCAUGGUUACAUAAUAAUAAACUUUGUAUACACAUACAUCCUAGACUUAAAUCACAUGAAGUU